AUUGAACGCUGGCGGCAGGCCUAACACAUGCAAGUCGGACGGCAGCACAGAGAGCUUGCUCUCGGGUGACGAGUGGCGGACGGGUGAGUAAUGUCUGGGGAUCUGCCCGAUAGAGGGGGAUAACCACUGGAAACGGUGGCUAAUACCGCAUAACGUCGCAAGACCAAAGAGGGGGACCUUCGGGCCUCUCACUAUCGGAUGAACCCAGAUGGGAUUAGCUAGUAGGCGGGGUAACGGCCCACCUAGGCGACGAUCCCUAGCUGGUCUGAGAGGAUGACCAGCCACACUGGGACUGAGACACGGUCCAGACUCCUACGGGAGGCAGCAGUGGGGAAUAUUGCACAAUGGGCGCAAGCCUGAUGCAGCCAUGCCGCGUGUAUGAAGAAGGCCUUCGGGUUGUAAAGUACUUUCAGCGGGGAGGAAGGCGAUGUGGUUAAUAACCGCAUUGAUUGACGUUACCCGCAGAAGAAGCACCGGCUAACUCCGUGCCAGCCGCCGCCGUAA
rnacentral:rRNA from 1 species